rnacentral:rRNA from 1 species
UACGGAGGGUGCAAGCGUUAUCCGGAUUCACUGGGUUUAAAGGGUGCGUAGGUGGGCAGUUAAGUCAGUGGGGAAAUCUCCGGGCUCAACCCGGAAACUGCCAUUGAUACUAUCUGUCUUGAAUAUCGUGGAGGUAAGCGGAAUAUGUCAUGUAGCGGUGAAAUGCUUAGAUAUGACAUAGAACACCAAGUGCAAAGGCAGAUUAAUACCAGAAUAUUGACACUGAGGCACGAAA